CACGUAGGCGGCUAGGUCCGUCCGAUGUGAAAGCCCCCGGCUCAACCGGGGAAUUGCAUCGGAUACAGCCUGGCUCGAGGACGGUUGGGUGAGUGGAACUCCUGGUGGAGCGGUGAAAUGCGUAGAUAUCAGGAGGAACACCGGUGGCGAAAGCGGCUCACUGGACCGUUUCUGACGCUGAGGUGCGAAAGCUAGGGAGCAAACG
rnacentral:rRNA from 1 species